rnacentral:rRNA from 1 species
UGGCGAACGGGUGAGUAAUACGUGAGUGACCACCUUUGACUCUGGGAUAAGCCUGGGAAACUGGGUCUAAUACCGGAUACGACCAAUCUCCGCAUGGGGUGUUGGUGGAAAGCGUUAUGGAGUGGUUUUAGAUGGGCUCACGGCCUAUCAGCUUGUUGGUGAGGUAAUGGCUUACCAAGGCGACGACGGGUAGCCGGCCUGAGAGGGUGACCGGCCACACUGGGACUGAGACACGGCCCAG